AUGAGUGCGGUCCAGCUGAUCCUCCUCAAGGCAGCCAAUUUGGACUCUCUGUGGAACGUCACAGGCAUGGCUGAUAGGUGGGGAAUGAGCUUCUUCCCCAGCCCAGAAGCUUUCUGGGCCUUCUACUCCUUACUUUGGCUGCUGCUGAUGGCAGUUGCCUGCUACUUCCUGAUGCCCGGGGCGAAGCCGCAGGAAGGGAGGAAGACAAGGCACCACUGCAGAAGACACCGGGAGAAUCGCAGAGUUUGGACCCUCCACAACUCUUCAUGGUGCAAGAGGAACCAAUGUCCCGAGCACGCAAAGGUGGAUGGAGUACGGGAACUAGCCGAACUGUUCAACAGGAACCUUGAGGACUUCAACAAAUACAUGGAAAUGCUCAACCUGGAGUUGCCAGAGGACAGCAGUGAGUUUCUCACUUCUGACACAGAGAGUAACACCAGCUGUUCUUCAGUGAUAUCUCUGGAUUCUUGGAGCAGCAUCUCCUAUGCUACCAUCAUGGAGAAUGAAACCACACAGAUUUCACAGGCAUCUACCCCCACUCCUGUGCAGAAAGCAGACUCACUUCAUGUUCGCCCACCCUGCAGGAAAGAAGUGGUCAGAUGCCACAGGGCCAUCAGUGUGCAGCAACACGUCCAGGUCCAGCAGGCUGCUCCCACCCAUCUUCCAGCAGUGCCCAAAUUGCAGUCUACGAAAAUGAAGACAUCUUUGUCACAAAAGAAAUCUAAAGAGGCCUUGAACUACAUCACCCCAAAAAAGAGAAAGGAGCAGAAACUGCGCCUGCCAGCUGAGGGGGAGAAGCCUCCACGAGAUGACCGAGCCUCUGCUUCGAAAGUAUCGAAGCGAGAAGAAAAGUCUAAUAAGAAGAAGGUUCCCACGGUGUGGGACGUGGCCUUCAUAGACAAGGCUGUGAAAAAUCGGCUGGAGCGUGCAGUGGAAAAACUGUAUAUACAAAAGCAAUUUGGACUGUCAGAGAUGCUGUUGUCCUUUGAGGAGAGCUUUUCAGCCACUGUCCUGGAAGCAAGGACAGCUGUCCCAACCACAGCUCCUCAAUCACCCCAACAGCAAGCAGAGCCACAUGUGGUGAGUCCUGUGGAGAAGGACCCACCCUGUGCGGAAAAGACUGUGAACAGUCACCUGGAGGGGCCUAAUGGACAAAAGCAGACCAAAGGGCUGUUCGGGCUACCAAGAAACAGGAAAAGAUCUUCAGACUCCGUCCUGGGACAGAAAGACACCCAGACUGAGGCUCUGCAGAGGAACACCAGGCAGCGCCAGCGCUCACCCAGGCUGCACUUUCAGCAGCACGUUCACACCACAAAGUCGGCAGUGCAGCUGUCAGAGCAGACCCCUGGCCCUCAGCAAGAGGCAGCAGCCCCCAAGGACACAUUGACCAAGGGGAUGAAGGAGCCUGUCAAGUCUGUGCCGGCACCUAUUCUGAGAGUGGCACAAGAGAUGAAGCCUCAGAAGGGUGGGGACAAACCCCGACAGAAGAUGGGGUGUGGAGGAAGAGCCAACGGAAGCAGCACGACCAGCAAGACGACCCGGCCUGGCACCAGCAAAAAGAUCCGGGGCCCUGGGGCAGCAGGGGAUUCCCCUUCCACCCAGGCAGAGCAGGCAUCACCACAGAGCAAGGGAGCUCCACAGGGUCAAUCAGAUAAGAAGGGUGAUGGCCCCAGCAUCUCCGCAUCAUCCCAGCAUUCUCCGGGGGAAAUGGGGACACCAGCACCUCCAAGAAGAAGGCGCCCACGGAGAAAACACAGCUCCAGUGAGGAUGGACCCUCAGUUCUGCCACGGCCUCCACACCAUGUUUGGAUCUGUCUUGAUAUCCCCCACACGACAGAGGUCCUUGCGGCACCAAGAGACUGCCGCAAAGCCAAACAAAUUGCUGAGGAUCUGGAGAAGCAGGUGCAGGCCUCACAGUUGAAGCAGCUCCCAGACAAUGUGGGGCAACCAAGGGUGGACACAGCAGGAGAGGGCACUGGGGCUGUGCCACGCAGAAGACACAGAAGGGCACAGAAGAACAAGGGAUGCUCCCAGGACAGACCUGUCUUCGCAAGACUCCGCCCUAAGUGCAUCAGAGCACCAAACCACAACCUCCCUGACACGGAAAGCUCCCAGGAUUUGGCUCCGUCAGCAGCUGCAGUCCCAGGUGCAGCUGGAGGAAACACAGUGGGAGAGAAGAAACCAUCUGCAGAGAGGGCCAAGGGGCAGCAGGACCCAGCAGGGCACAAAGCCAGCAAGCAGAAGAUCCCUGCCAGCCCCACGAGGGAGCGGGAGCUCUCUCAAUAA
rnacentral:lncRNA from 1 species